AUACAUGCAAGUCGAGCGGAUCGAUGGGAGCUUGCUCCCUGAGAUCAGCGGCGGACGGGUGAGUAACACGUGGGUAACCUGCCUGUAAGACUGGGAUAACUCCGGGAAACCGGGGCUAAUACCGGAUAACACCUACCCCCGCAUGGGGGAAGGUUGAAAGGUGGCUUCGGCUAUCACUUACAGAUGGACCCGCGGCGCAUUAGCUAGUUGGUGAGGUAAUGGCUCACCAAGGCGACGAUGCGUAGCCGACCUGAGAGGGUGAUCGGCCACACUGGGACUGAGACACGGCCCAGACUCCUACGGGAGGCAGCAGUAGGGAAUCUUCCGCAAUGGACGAAAGUCUGACGGAGCAACGCCGCGUGAGUGAAGAAGGUUUUCGGAUCGUAAAACUCUGUUGUUAGGGAAGAACAAGUGCCGUUCGAAUAGGGCGGCGCCUUGACGGUACCUAACCAGAAAGCCACGGCUAACUACGUGCCAGCAGCCGCGGUAAUACGUAGGUGGCAAGCGUUGUCCGGAAUUAUUGGGCGUAAAGCGCGCGCAGGUGGUUUCUUAAGUCUGAUGUGAAAGCCCACGGCUCAACCGUGGAGGGUCAUUGGAAACUGGGGAACUUGAGUGCAGAAGAGGAAAGUGGAAUUCCAAGUGUAGCGGUGAAAUGCGUAGAUAUUUGGAGGAACACCAGUGGCGAAGGCGACUUUCUGGUCUGUAACUGACACUGAGGCGCGAAAGCG
rnacentral:rRNA from 2 species